rnacentral:rRNA from 1 species
GAUGAACGCUGGCGGCGUGCCUAAUACAUGCGAGUCGAGCGAACAGACGAGGAGCUUGCUCCUCUGACGUUAGCGGCGGACGGGUGAGUAACACGUGGAUAACCUACCUAUAAGACUGGGAUAACUUCGGGAAACCGGAGCUAAUACCGGAUAAUAUAUUGAACCGCAUGGUUCAAUAGUGAAAGACGGUUUUGCUGUCACUUAUAGAUGGAUCCGCGCCGCAUUAGCUAGUUGGUAAGGUAACGGCUUACCAAGGCAACGAUGCGUAGCCGAACUGAGAGGGUGAUCGGCCACACUGGAACUGGGACACGGUCCAGACUCCUACGGGAGGCAGCAGUAGGGAAUCUUCCGCAAUGGGCGAAAGCUUGACGGAGCAACGCCGCGUGAGUGAUGAAGGUCUUCGGAUCGUAAAACUCUGUUAUUAGGGAAGAACAAAUGUGUAAGUAACUAUGCACGUCUUGACGGUACCUAAUCAGAAAGCCACGGCUAACUACGUG